CAACCUGCCGAUGACUCGGGGAUAGCCUUUCGAAAGAAAGAUUAAUACCCGAUGGCAUAGUUCUUCCGCAUGGUGGAACUAUUAAAGAAUUUCGGUCAUCGAUGGGGAUGCGUUCCAUUAGGUUGUUGGCGGGGUAACGGCCCACCAAGCCUUCGAUGGAUAGGGGUUCUGAGAGGAAGGUCCCCCACAUUGGAACUGAGACACGGUCCAAACUCCUACGGGAGGCAGCAGUGAGGAAUAUUGGUCAAUGGACGAGAGUCUGAACCAGCCAAGUAGCGUGAAGGAUGACUGCCCUAUGGAUUGUAAACUUCUUUUAUACGGGAAUAAAGUGAGGCACGUGUGCCUUUUUGUAUGUACCGUAUGAAUAAGGAUCGGCUAACUCCGUGCCGGCAGCCGCGGUAAUACGGAGGAUCCGAGCGUUAUCCGGAUUUAUUGGGUUUAAAGGGAGCGUAGGCGGACGCUUAAGUCAGUUGUGAAAGUUUGCGGCUCAACCGUAAAAUUGCAGUUGAUACUGGGUGUCUUGAGUACAGUAGAGGCAGGCGGAAUUCGUGGUGUAGCGGUGAAAUGCUUAGAUAUCACGAAGAACUCCGAUUG
rnacentral:rRNA from 1 species